GCCAGGGGAUUGGCUGAAGCUCAGUGGUAGAGCAUCUGCUUUGCAUGUAGAAGACACUAGGUUGAAUCGCCAGGGCUGGCU